rnacentral:sRNA from 1 species
UUAGUAUAGUACCCCAGCAUUGAUGACC